rnacentral:rRNA from 1 species
GAUAAACGCUCUCGGCGCACAUAAGACAUGCAAGUCGAACGGACUUCUCCGAAAGUUUACUUUUGGAGCGGUUAGUGGCGGACUGGUGAGUAACACGUAAGCAACCUGCCUAUCAGAGGGGAACAACAGUUAGAAAUGACUGCUAAUACCGCAUAUGCCUAAGUAUCACAUGGUACAAUAGGGAAAGAAGCAAUUCGCUGAUAGAUGGGCUUGCGUCUGAUUAGAUAGUUGGUGGGGUAACGGCCUACCAAGUCAACGAUCAGUAGCCGGACUGAGAGGUUGAACGGCCACAUUGGGACUGAGAUACGGCCCAGACUCCUACGGGAGGCAGCAGUCGGGAAUAUUGCGCAAUGGAGGAAACUCUGACGCAGUGACGCCGCGUGCAGGAAGAAGGUUUUCGGAUUGUAAACUGCUUUAGACAGGGAAGAAACAAGACAGUACCUGUAGAAUAAGCUCCGGCUAACUACGUGCCAGCAGCCGCGGUAAUACGUAGGGAGCGAGCGUUAUCCGGAUUUAUUGGGUGUAAAGGGUGCGUAGACGGGAAAAUAAGUUAGUUGUGAAAUCCCUCGGCUUAACUGAGGAACUGCAACUAAAACUGUUUUUCUUGAGUGCUGGAGAGGAAAGUGGAAUUCCUAGUGUAGCGGUGAAAUGCGUAGAUAUUAGGAGGAACACCAGUGGCGAAGGCGACUUUCUGGACAGUAACUGACGUUGAGGCACGAAAGUGUGGGGAGCAAACAGG